rnacentral:tRNA from 1 species
GGUUGUAGCUCAAUGGUAGAGUGUUCACCUGACAUGUGAGAGGCACUGGGUUCGAUCCUCAGCACUA